rnacentral:rRNA from 1 species
CGCAAGGGGAGCGGCAGACGGGUGAGUAACGCGUGGGAAUCUACCCAGCUCUACGGAAUAACUCAGGGAAACUUGUGCUAAUACCGUAUACGUCCGAUAGGAGAAAGAUUUAUCGGAGUUGGAUGAGCCCGCGUUGGAUUAGCUAGUUGGUGGGGUAAUGGCCUACCAAGGCGACGAUCCAUAGCUGGUCUGAGAGGAUGAUCAGCCACACUGGGAUUGAGACACGGCCCAGACUCCUACGGGAGGCAGCAGUGGGGAAUAUUGGACAAUGGGCGAAAGCCUGAUCCAGCCAUGCCGCGUGAGUGAUGAAGGCCCUAGGG